rnacentral:rRNA from 1 species
CCUACGGGAGGCAGCAGUGAGGAAUAUUGGUCAAUGGACGAGAGUCUGAACCAGCCAAGUAGCGUGAAGGAUGACUGCCCUAUGGGUUGUAAACUUCUUUUAUAUGGGAGUAAAAUGUUCCACGUGUGGGAUUUUGUAUAUACCAUAUGAAUAAGGCUCGGCUUACUCCGUGCCAGCAGCCGCCGGAAUAACGGGGAGCCGCGCGGUAUCCGGAUUUAUUGGGUUUAAAGGGCGCGUAGGUGGGUGGGUAAGUCCAUUGUGAAAUUUUGGGGCCCCAACGUAAAAUUGCAGUUGAAACUGGCAGUCUUGAGUAAAGUAGAGGUGGGCGGAAUUCGUGGUGUAGCGGUGAAAUGCAUAGAUAUCACGAAGAACUCCGAUUGCGAAGGCAGCUCACCGGCCUGCAACUGACACUGAGGCUCGAAAGUGUGGGUAUCAAACAGGAUUAGAUACCCGAGUAGUC